GGUUCGAUCAUGGCUCAGAUUGAACGCUGGCGGGAUGCUUUACACAUGCAAGUCGAACGGCAGCACGGACUUCGGUCUGGUGACGAGUGGCGAACGGGUGAGUAAUGUAUCUGAAAUUCCGCCCAGUAGCGGGGAUAACUACGCGAAAGCGCUGGCACCGUAUACAGCCCUUCAAAGUGGGGACUCGGCCUUCGUAAUCAUUAGAGCGGGCUGAUAUCGGAUUAGCUAGUUGGUGGGGUAACGGCUCACCAAGGCGACGAUCCGUGCAGCUGGUUUGAGAGGGACGACCAGUUUCAGCACUGGGACUGGAGACACGGCCCAGACUACGGGAGGCAGCAGUGGGGAAUUUUGGACAAUGGGGUGAAACCCUGAUCCAGCCAUCCCGCGUGUGCGAUGGCUUUCGGGUUGUAAAGCACUUUUGCAGGAGGUAAAGAAAACGGCACGGGAUAAUACUUCGUGCAACUGACGGUACCUGCAGAAUAAGCACUGGCUAACUACGUGCCAGCAGCCAGUGGUAAUGCGGUGCGUUGUUAAUCGGAAUUACUGGGCGUAAAGCGUGCGCAGGCGGUUCGGAAAGAAAGAUGUGAAAUCCCAGAGCUUAACUUUGGAACUGCAUUUUUAACUACCGAGCUAGAGUGUGUCAGAGGGAGGUGGAAUUUCCGCGUAGCAGGAAAUGCGUAGAUAUGCGGAGGAACACCGAUGGCGAAGGCAGCCUCCUGGGAUAACACUGACGCUCAUGCACGAAAGCGUGGGGAGCAAACAGGAUUAGAUACCCUGUAGUCCACGCCCUAAACGAUGUCAACUAGCUGUUGGGGCCUUCGGGCCUUGGUAGCGCAGCUAACGCGUGAAGUUGACCGCCCGGGGAGUACGGUCGCAAGAUUAAAACUCAAAGGAAUUGACGGGGACCCGCACAAGCGGUGGAUGAUGUGGAUUAAUUCGAUGCAACGCGAAAAACCUUACCUACCCUUGACAUGUCUUGAAUCCUGAAGAGAUUUGAGAGUGCUCGCAAGAGAACCGGAACACAGGUGCUGCAUGGCUGUCGUCAGCUCGUGUCGUGAGAUGUUGCUAAGUCCCCGCAACGAGCGUGCAACCCUUGUCAUUAGUUGCUACGAAAGGGCACUCUAAUGAGACUGCCGGUGACAAACCGGAGGAAGGUGGGGAUGACGUCAAGUCCUCGCGGCCCUUAUGGGUAGGGCUUCACACGUCAUACAAUGGUCGGGACAGAGGGUCGCCAACCUGCCAGGGGGAGCUAACUCUGUGAAACCCGAUCGUAGUCCGGAUCGCAGUCUGCAACCUGGACUGCGUGAAGUCGGAAUCGCUAGUAAUCGCGGAUCAAAGUAUGUCGCGGUGAAUACGUUCCUGGUUCUGUACACACCGCCCGUCACACCAUGGGAGUGGGUUUUACCAGAAGUAGUUAGCCUAACCGUAGCAGGCGACGGUCAGCGAGAUUCAUGGAUUUAGCGCAAGUCGUAGUCAUGUGAUCCCCACAUGCCUGAUGC
rnacentral:rRNA from 1 species